UGUCGUUGAUGACGACCACCAAUGGUCCAGUAGCUUGAGAGGAUCGCCUUCGGGUAGCUACAAGAAACACUCCCGCAGCCUGAAAGGGGGAACGCAAAAGCGUGGUAAAUCUGCUCACCUUUGGAAGCGGAUAUCGUCAUUAACAGCGCAU
rnacentral:sRNA from 1 species